rnacentral:rRNA from 1 species
UACAGAGGUCUCAAGCGUUGUUCGGAUUUACUGGGCGUAAAGGGCGCGUAGGCGGCGUGACAUGUCACUUGUGAAAUCUCCGGGCUUAACUCGGAACGGUCAAGUGAUACUGUCGUGCUAGAGUACAGAAGGGGCAACUGGAAUUCUCGGUGUAGCGGUGAAAUGCGUAGAUAUCGAGAGGAACACCUGCGGCGAAGGCGGGUUGCUGGGCUGAUACUGACGCUGAGGCGCGAAAGCCAGGGGAGCGAACGGG